rnacentral:lncRNA from 1 species
CGUCUAUAAAAUAAUUGAAAUGUUUACCAAUUUUGUUGACCAUGCUAUGUGACUGCAUUACAAUUCAAUGAACAGGAACUAUUCGAAACUUGGAUCAGUCAUCAAUGUUUGGUAUAAGCAUACAAAUUUGAUACAACCCAGAUAUUCAAGCAUUUUUAUUACACUUUGAAAAUCUGAAAGUAGGUGUAAAAGAUAUAAAAAUAAGGUAGAUACAGUGGAGGUAGACAUUCUGGCAUUGCUUGUCAUAUUACUAAGAUGAUAAACAAAGAUUGUAGUAUAUUUAGCUUCCACAGAGCUUUUCCUAAGAGAAAGAAAAAGAUGCUGUUUUGUGGAGCAUAUAAAAUUGUGCUACCAUGACCAAAUUAUUAACUGUUUUAAAAAGUUUACUAAUUGCUUUUGCAUCAGGAAUGCAUAUAUCAAUUUAAAAUAAAAAUCAUCAAGCAAUUUUAGUCAUAAGUGCUUCUACAUAAUGAGCUUUUACUGACAGUGUUCAGUCCAUUAGUACUAUAGUCUUUGAUGUGUUUAUUUGAAGUAAUUCAGGAUAAGUAAAAUAAAAUAAUACCUACUGUCAAAACCAAUGAGAAAGCUUCAAUUUGGGUAUCAUAAAAACUAGCAAAGUAUCAGACUGAUAGCAAAAUAUGAAAAGUAGUUCUAUUAAUCAUGAUGAAAUAUUCCUUCAAAAUUUUAAAGGAGACCUAGAAGCUGAUGGCUUUUAGUUUUACCUAAUAAUUUUGUAACCUCAUAUGUUUAGAGGUUUAGGAAAAAAUAAAUAAAAUGGAGGGGAAAUUCUACGUAAGGCAGAAUAAAAAACAAAAGUGAAAAGUAAAUGUGGAUUUCCCUGGUUGCUUAGUGGGUUAAGGAUUUGGCAUUGUCACUGCUAGGGUGUGGGUUCCAUCCCCAGCCUGGGAACUUCCUCAGGUUGUGGGUAUGGCCAAAAAAAAAGUAAAUUCAACCAAGAAUAUCAAUAAUUAAGUUUUAAUUUUUAUAGUGAACUUAGUACAGUUGAUCUAUGCAUUGUAAAGACAAUAAAUACUAAUCAUUAGAUUAAUUAAAAGUGGAGUGAAUCAAUGUCUUACUAUGUAGGUACACACUCAAAAUCAUCAAAAUUAUUAUUUUUAUUUUUUCUUUUUUGGCCUUCCCAAGGCAUAUGGACUUCUCAGGCCAGGGAUCAGAUCUAAGCCACAGUUGUGACCUAUGAGCAGCUGCAGCAGUGCUUGAUCCUUAACCCACUGUGCUGGGACGAGGACUGAACCUGUGUUCUAGCAAUCCAACUUGCGUUUCAGCGCUCCAGAGACACCUCUGAUCCCAUUGCAUCACAGUGAGAACUCCAAAAUUAUUUGAUUUUUAUUAUUUUUAAAGUCUGCCUAUUUAUAACUUUACUAUGAUACCUAAGUGGAAAAGAGUCCUGCUUGAAUGAAGGGAAAAUAAACCAUGGGUACUUCAAAACCCAUGGAGGUGUCCGUUCUCCCCUUAUAAGAUUCACUUAGUGAUGCAAGUGUAUUUGAAUGAGAAUACAUUAAAUCUAAGGCCAUUUCGAUAGAAGGCCAAGCUAGGCUUCUGGUUUAAGUAUAAUGACUUGAAUUUAAUAGUAGAGUGAAAUAUAUAUAUUCUAUCUGAUCCGAGGUUACAGAUUUAACCUCAAAAAACAAAACCCACAACCAUCUCCUUUCAAAGAACGAUGUUUUAUCAAUAUCAGUAACAAAAUUUAAAAAUAAAAGGAAUUAUAGUGUCUCAGAAUAAAGAAAAGUGCUUGAAAAACACAUUCCGGAGUUCCUGUCGUGACGCAGUGGUUAACGAAUCCGACUAGGAACCAUGAGGUUGAGGGUUCAAUCCUUAACCCACUGAGGGAGGUCACAGAUGGAACCUGAGCACAACCUCAUGGUUAAUAGUCGGAUUCAUUUCUACUGCACCACAGCAGGAACUCCACAGUUUUUUAUUUUUAAGAGUGAGGGCACCUCUGGAUAAUACUUACACUUUAAAUCGGAAUGGCAUGAAUCAGUUGUAUGAGGGCUGAUGACAUUCCAAUAUACCUUUUCUUACCUACCAUAGGAGGCAACAGUAAGAUUUCUCGCAGUUAGUCGUGGUGUGUUAGUUUGCUCCGACCCACCUAACAAGAUAUCCCAGACUAGGGGACAUAUCAGAAACUUAUUUUUCUUAGAGUUCCAAGAUGCUUAAGUCCAUGAUCAAGACACUGGCAGGAUUUGUUUCUUCUGGGGCCGCUCUUCUUGGCUUGCAGGUGACUGCCCUCUUACUACCUCUUCAUGUGGUUGUCUGUCUGUGUGCACAAGUCUGUGAUAUUUCUUUGUGUGUCCUCAUUUCCUCUGCUUUUAAGGGUACAAAUCAGAUUGGUUAAGACCCACCACAAUGGCCUCACUUUAAUUUAAUCACCUCUUUUAAAGAUUGUUUUCAAAUAUGAGUACAUUUUAAAGUACAUGGGCCUAGAACUUCAACAUAUGAAUUUGGGGGGAAAACAAUUCAGCCCAUCACACAUGAUGCAUAUAAUUUUGUGCUAAAGUUUUAAGCAUUUUCAAAAAAGGGCUUGAAAAUAUUCAUUACAACAUAAUGAACUUUAAUAUGAAACAAGUGAUAUUAAAAUUUAGAGAGUAAUAUAAUCACCUUAUUAAGAAUACUCAUUAAUAUCUGUUCAGUAAUUUAUAAUUUAGAAAGAACCUGUAUAUACAUAUGGAAUAUAUAUAUUCCUCCCAAUAAUUCUGUGGGAUAGGUAAGCUAAAUUACAAUAAAUAUAAAAAUGUGUAACAUUUAUUUUUAAAACCAUCCUGUGUCAGGCAUUGUGCUGGGCAUUUUAUAGAUGUUAUCUCAAUUAAACCUUAUAACUUUUUAUCUCCAUUUUACAUAAAAAGAAAGAAAACUUAGGAUAGGAAAUAGGAAAUAAGUCUUCUUUCCUUACUUGACCUCUUUCUGGCAUUUGAUGCUGUUGAACAUUUUCUUGUAUCUUUGAUUUUAUAACAUUGCACUGUCCCUAUCAUAUGCCUAUAUGUCAGGUGAUUUCUUCUGUUAUUUUUGUGGGUUCUUUACUCUGUCCAUUCUUUGUCCAUAUUUUUAUUAUUCCUAAUGACUUUCUUAACACUUUUCUCCUCUGCUUCAUAUACUUUCAAUGAACUAUCAGAUACCCAUGACUUACUUCCACUGUACAUUAAUGAUGCCCAAAUCUUUUUUUUUUUUUUUUUUUUUUUGGUCUUUUUGCCAUUUCUUGGGCCACUCCCAUGGCAUAUGGAGGUUCCCAGGCUAGGGGUCGAAUCGGAGCUCUAGCCACCGGCCUCUGCCAAAGCCACAGAAAUGUGAGAUCCGAGCCCUGUCUACAACCUACAGCACAGCUUACUGCAACACCAGAGAUCCUUAACCCACUGAGCAAAGUCAGGGAUCGAACCUGCAACCUCAUGGGCCUGCAACACCAGAGAUCCUUACCCCACUGAGCAAAGUCAGGUAUCGAACCUGCAACCUCAUGGGACUGCAACACCAGAGAUCCUUACCCCACUGAGCAAAGUCAGGUAUCGAACCUGCAACCUCAUGGUUCCUAGUCAGAUUCGUUAACCACUGAGCCACGAUGGGAACUCCAAUUCCCAAAUCUCUGUCCCAAUGCUUCGUGUUGAUUUUAGCUUCAAAACGCUCGUUAGAACAAAAAUCUUCCCCAAAACCAUACUAGUUCAGUGAAUGAAAACACCAACCAGCUAGAUGUCUCAGCCAGAUGCCUAGGAGUCAUCUGUCUGUUUGAUUCAACCAAUUUCCCCUUUCCCUAAUGCCUGUUCUCCUCACAAGCCAAUAAAAUGUAAAUUCUUUAGUUCUACCAUCUAAACAUCUGUUACAUUUAUCACUGUUAUUGAUUCUCAUGGCCACUUUUCCUAAUUUUUUUCCUCUAGUACAUUUUACCCUUAUUCCUUACUGGAAUUACUGCCAUAGUCUCCUAAAAAGUGUUCUGGUCUCUACUCUUAACCUGUUUAACUCAUUAGUCACAGUUGCUCUCAGAAUAACUUUUAAAAAUGCACACUGAGGUAUAUGGAAUGAUUGGCCAAUGAGGACCUGCUAUAUAGCAUAGAGACCUCUACCCAAUAUUCUGUGAUAAUCCAUGUGGGAAAUGAAUCUAAGAGAGAAUGGAUAUGUGUAUAUGUAUGAUUGGGUUACUUUGUUGUACAGUAGAAAUUAUCACAAUCUUACAAAUUAACUAUUCACUAAAACUAAAAAAAUGAAAAUCUCUGUAACUUAGAGGUUUAAAAUACGUUGCUCUUAAAACAAAGUCCAGACUCCUUUAAGUGGCUACCCAGCUCUGUUUAAAUGUCUGAUCACUUUCCAUUCCUUUCUUUACAUACAUGAGAACCAACUAUACAACAUGUAAGCAUACACUCUUGCUCUGACUCUUUGCCUUUUCAUGCAUUUCUCUUUCAUGGUGCAUUUCCAACCCAGUUCUCCCUCCACCAGGCUCAUCUUUCUAUUCUCAGGUUGGUCUCCAAUUUCUUCUCAGCUCUUCUUUAAUUCCAGAUUAUAUUGAAAUGUUCCUACUUUGUAUACUUCACCUUUUAAAUGCUUUUGGCUUUCUAAUUUCCUGUUUUUCUGUCUUUACCUUAUAUGAAUUAUAUUCUUAAGGAUUAUAAGCCUUGUGAGGGUGGUAAGCAUGUGAAUUUUAUUCAUCAUUAAGUCCCCAGCACUUAGAACAGUGCCAGGCACAUAAAUGCUUAAUAAAUAUUCCAUGAAUGAAUUAAUAAAAGUAAGUAAUGUGCCAUAAUAAAAUUAUAAUUAAAAGGAACAUUUACUUCAGUUUGAGGAUUAAUAUCCAAUAUGUAAAGUGUUUUAUAUACAUGUAAUCAUGACAGUUCUCCGAAUAGAAUUGUUGUUUUAUACAUAAGAAGAUUGAAACAUAAAAAAAUUAAAUGACUUGCCUAAAUUAAAAAGUAAUGGGAUAUAACAAAAAAUUGAAUUCCAGUCCCCAACUUCUGGUCUAAUGUUACCUUCACUAUAGCUCACUGGCUAAAAUUUGGAAGUGCUCAAAGUACAAAAUUUGCAUACAUUGUUCCAUUGGAGAAGUUUAUAUAAUGCACAAACUAGUAUGGCUGAUGAUUACUACCAAGAAUAAAACAAGAAUAAUAGUUAUCAUUCAUUGAAUGUUCACUGUGUUAUGGACUAUUUGUCCUUUAAUUGAUGACUAUUUGAACAGAAUUGCUUUUUGACUCAACUCCUCACUAAGAUACAUUGCACAAAUGUAUUUGUCUUCAUUGUGAGAAGAAAACAGACAACACACACUUCACUUCUACAGAAUAUAAAACAUCUAGUAUUUGGGUUAGCUAAUUUAUGACUACUCUUUGAGCCUCAUUGUAAUUCAGCUGCAGUUCUUCAGUGGGAGAAUCCUCAUGCUGUGGAAAUAUGUUUUAUUCUUUAACCAAGCUUCAUUUGAGAAUUUAGGUUGGGGGUGGGGAAUUAAAAAUUUCAAAUUGUAAAGGCACUAUGUAGUUAAGAAUUGUCACCCAGAAAUAUUAGAAGUAGGGAUUCCAAGCCAUCUUUGAGGGUUUUUUUUUUUUUUCAUCACUUAAUUUCUUGAUACUUUACUUACCAGUGGAGUAAGUAUUCUUCAGGGAGAUAUUUAGUUACAUAAUGAAUAUUGGUACAGUCCUUAAACUCAUUGUUUUAUAGAAUGAGGUUGUAAUCCUUAUCUUCCUAUUCAUAGCAUGUGUGGGAAGUAUAUUUUAUUAGAAAAGGGACAGUCUGAAGACCAUCUUUGUUUCCUGUUGGGGCAUUUCCAGAUUGGAUGAAAUCUGAGAAGAGCCAUCUGUUGAAUAUUUAGUAUUCAGAACAGUAGAACUACUCCUGGCAUCUGGUUUUGCCAAGACCUAGCUAAAAAUAAAUAUUAGAUGGAACUUGCUUCUUUUUUGCGUUGGUUUUGAACUCUCUUAGAAGUGGUUGUAAAUUCCCAAGGGAAAGAAAUAGAGCAAAAAGAAAUGUAAGCAGUUAAUUUUCAUUGUCAUCCACAAAAUAUUAGGUUGAAUUUUAGGAUCAAAUAUGCUAAGACUUUUCUACUUUCAUUUCUUUGUCUCGCCUAUUUUUUAUAAGUUGUUAUGAAAUAAUGAUUACCAGUUACUAAUGAUAAUAUCACAGCCACCUCAUCCAAACACACAUCCAAACACACACACACACAUACACACACACACACACACACAAACCCCUACCUUUUUCAGUCAUGUACUAAGUUGCAAUCCCAUGGUAAAAUAAUAAAAUUUUCAAAUUAUACUAUUUUGCUGGCUCUUGGGAAAGUAUUUUUCAUAUUUAACCUAUAAUCAUUGGUACAGUGUCUUAGCUGUCAUCCAGCAUUGACAGAACCCCUCCAACAUUAGUGCUCUAUUAAUAAGAAUGUCCCACCAGAUUUGAAGUUACAUAAUAAAGAGAUAAACUCAAUUAAAACAUUUUAUAUAGGUUAAUAAAUAUUAAUUAAAUUUGUUCUCUACAUCUUAUUUGAUGAAGAAAAUAUUAAGAAGUUUCAUAGAAAUUAUCUGCUCUCUAGGAGCCAGUAGGUCAGUUU